CCCGGGUCCUAGCGCGACGCCGCUGCCGGGGGCGGGAAGCGAGGAGGCCCGGGAGAGGAGGAGCGAAGGUGUCUCCAGCGGAGACCACCUGUCACCUGCCCAGAGGAGCCAGAUCUGACCAGCGUGGGCAGGAGCCGGCUUUCCACACUGUUCUAGCAUUUGGACCUCGUUUCCUCUCUCCCUCUGAUACUUCAGCAGCCUCCCAGAGACAUCCCAGUGCAGGCCUCUUAGCAAGUCCCAGGCGGCCUACAGUCUAGACUCCUGUGCUGGCUUUACCUCCCAGCAUAGUCUGAAAUGUGCCUACGCUCUGGUUGGACUGGCUUCAGUACUCCAUCUGCCUGCUGCCCCCAGGCCACCAUAUGCUGUAGAAGGUACAAGGACAGUGGAAGAGAUGCUCUUCCUUCAGUCAAGGGCAUCUCCUGUAAAAUACCCUUUUGUUCUUGUGUAUUUUCAAACAUUCUCUCCUGGUUCCUUCAGAUCUCUGCCAACUUGAGCUCUAUAUCCCAUGCCCCUCUCCCGCUGCUACCCUCUCUCUACCCAGCUUCCAGCUCCCCUGUCCCCCAAAGCCAAACUUCCUUAAGUGCCACCAUCAUUUUUUUCUCACCAUUUUCUUAUUCUUUACCUCACUCUGUGUGACUUUUUCCCAACUAUAAUGGGGUUGAAAUGACUUUAACCAAGGUCACGAUGCCAAGUCAUUGUUUACUAUUUUUGACUUCUUGACUUUUACCCUGUUGACACUUGGUCCCCUCUGAAGCUGUCUCUUCUAUGGCAUUAAACUUUUGAAGUUUC